AGUGGGGAAUAUUGGACAAUGGGGGCAACCCUGAUCCAGCAAUGCCGCGUGUGUGAAGAAGGCCUUCGGGUUGUAAAGCACUUUUAUCGGGAAAGAAACACUGUCGGCUAAUACCCGGCGGGACUGACGGUACCCGAUGAAUAAGCACCGGCUAACUCCGUGCCAGCAGCCGCGGUAAUACGGAGGGUGCAAGCGUUAAUCGGAAUUACUGGGCGUAAAGCGUGCGUAGGUGGUUCGUUAAGUCCGUUGUGAAAGCCCCGAGCUCAACUUGGGAAUUGCAGUGGAUACUGGCGGGCUGGAGUGCGGUAGAGGAAGGUGGAAUUCCCGGUGUAGCGGUGAAAUGCGUAGAGAUCGGGAGGAACACCAGUGGCGAAGGCGGCCUUCUGGACCAGCACUGACACUCAAGCACGAAAGCGUGGGGAGCAAA
rnacentral:rRNA from 1 species